rnacentral:lncRNA from 1 species
GCCAAUAACAAAAGUGCCAAAAUGUCAGACCAUUUCUGAAGGAUGCUCUCCAUCCUUGAUUGAAAGAGAUAAACACAGCCUUUCACGUACAACGGGCAGUUUCUGCAUUUGAAAUUAUGCAUUAAACAGAUUGUUUAAGAGUUUUUCAGGUAGAAUCCUAACAACUCAGACUGGAGUAAAAGCUCUAUGAUUCACUCCCACAAAACUUUAAUUUCACUGACAGUAUAAUUGCAAAUCACAGGCAUUUCAAACAGUUGUGUUCAGUACGGUGAGUCUAUUUUAAAAUUGUGGAAGAUGAGUUGUUCUGUUUCUUUAGCCACCUUGCAGUAAAUAUCUGGGGAAUAUUCAGUUCACUGAUUUAGAGAAAAUUAUCAGUCCUGGUAGGGUUAUGAUGUGUGGAAAGCAUUUUCAGUCAGAGGGGGUUAAACAGCAGACUGAGCUACUGAGUGACCCCUGACAAGUUAUUUAAUUUCUUGUGCUUUAUUUUGCCCAUUUCUAACCUGGGAUAAUACACCUGCUAUCAUAGGGUUCCUGAGACUCUGAAAUUGGACAACAUAUAUAAGAGGACAACAUAGAUAAUGCCUCCCACCAUUUACUGGUAUUUGGCAGUUGCUUAAUAAAUGGCAAAAUCCUUUCGUUCUUUUCCGUGAUUUAUGGUCUCCUCUUAGGAUAUUGGAAAUAGAUAAUAAAAAAGAAAACACUUUCAGUUUUUUACUUAAACCAGAAGCCAGGUGUUAUCUUUAAUUUCUGUCUUUUCCUCAAACACCCAAUCUAAUUUGUCAGUGAAUUAAUCUUUCCUCUUUAUUUUCUCUGAAGAUUUUAAUUUUUGGUUGAUUUAGCUAAUAUUUAUUGAGCAUUUAUUAUUGACAAGCAUUGUUCUAAACCUGCAUUGACUCAUUUAGUCGUUGUAACUACCUAAUGAGUCUAUUAUUAUUGGUUUUUUUUUUUUUUUUUUGGCUUUUGUCUUUUUUCUUUUCAGGGCCACACCCACAGCAUAUAGUGUUUCCCAGGCUAGGGGUCCAAUUGGAGCUACAGCUGACAGCCUGCUCCACAGCCACAGCAACGCCAGAUACACCACAACUCACAGCAAUGCCGGAUCCUUAACCCACUGAGCGAGGCCAGGGAUCAAACCCAAAACCUCAUGGUUCCUAGUCUGAUUUGUUUCUGCUGCGCUAUGAUGGGUACUCCCUAUUAUUGCUGUUCUUAUUCUACAGAUAGACAUUAUGCAGUCAGUGAGCAGGGAUGGUAUUCUGGAACCCUUAACUGCUACCUUAUAUCCUCCACUUUUUGAGGUUCAGCUGCCUUACUUUGUUCUUUUGAGGCAUGGUACUCUCUUCCUUGAUCCCUUCCUAGUCUGUAAAUUUCUAGCCAACUCCACAUCCAUCUGAAUUUUUUGCCUGGAAUUCUUCUCUCCAUUCAGUACUCUCACCUCCCUCUGUGUCUCCUCCAUGCCAUUCACCUUGUCUGAAAGUGCAAUUACUCUUCUUUUUCCUUACAUCUACCCUUUAGUAACAUUUUACAUUAAUUACUUCUCAAAAUUCUAGUAUUUUUUUUUACCAGUUUUUAAUGAUCAGAGCAGAAUUAUAACAACAUUCAAGGAUUUUUUUAAAUUAUAAAUCACCCACUCUUCAAUCACAUACACAUUUCCUUUUUACACAUUUCUCUCUAGUCUCCUUUAUGUGUGUGUUUGUGGGAAUGCAUAUGUUUUAUAUUUACUCACCAUGAGUAAGUUGUAUUUGGAUUUUUUUUGCUGAUUAUUGAUUGUUUUUUCUCUAAAAAGUAGUCCUUAAAAUUAUCUCUGUAGUAUCACGUAAAAAUUCCAUUACCUUGAAAUAACAUAAUCUACCUCACCAGUUUUCUACUGUUGCACAGGUUGAUUUUAAUUGUUUCCUGUUCACAAUUCUACAACUAAUGUUUGCAUGUGGACACAGGUUUUUUAAAAAAUUGAUUUAUUUCCUUACUAUUAAAUUAAUUUAUUAAGUCAAUGAGUCAGCAUUUUUUCUACUUUUGACACAUUUUUGUUGUAUUGCUUUUGCUUUUAAUUGGAGAUUUUUUUUUAUUGUGUUGUAGCCAAUCUUAAAGUAUACACAGUUUAUACAAUGUAAAAUGUAACUAUUGACACCUAAAAUAGAGUUUUUCCAGUUCGUUAAAAAAUACCAUUGGGCUUCCACUCAGGCAUAGAUUAAAUUUGCCUCUUUCACUGUGUUGCUGUGUAUGUUACUUGCUUGUUCUUUUUCAUUAUUCUGUAGUAUACCAUUGGCUGGAUAUACAACAGUUUACCAGUUCUACUGUUGAUGAAUAUUUGAGUUGUUUCCAGUUACGGGCUACUGCAAAUAAAGCUGCCUUAAACAUAUUUUACAUGCCUUGGGUUGGCUCUGAACCCUCACUUCUGUUGAGUCUAUUCCCAGGAGUGGAAUGACUGAACACAGAGGACACAUAUAUUUAUCUGAAAUAUUACCUUCCUUAAGGUUUAAAAUCUAUUUAAAAUAAUAGGAAAAUAUUUCAAAAUUAUAAAUUGGUAAGGAUGUUAUACUGUCAUACGCAAGGGGAUGAAUAAAUCAUUUAGAAAAGCAGUUACAGAACGGAGUUUACAAACUGUCUAUCAUUGGUGGAAAAACUUAGCAAGUUCCACCUGCCAGGGAUGAUUCCCUUUAUUUCUGCAUGAAUUUAUCAUACAUGAAACUAUUAACUAUAGUUCACAGAAAUGAAUUCCUAAACGGUUAGACUUUUAUUAUUAUUACUAUUUUUAUUGCGAUAUAAUUGACAUGCAACUAUUUUUACUAUGUUGGCUAUAAAUACCCUUUGCUUCUACUCUUCCUGGAUUUUGCUCAUGCUGUUGUGUUUUCCCAGAAUCACAUCCUCAGUAGUCUGUGUUUCCCCAUUGCACUCUGUUUAUCACUUCACACUUAGUAAGUGCUGAAUACACACCAUCAAUCGACAGGUGUAAGUAUUUGUCUAUGUUAGUGAACCCAGUGGAACUGUACCCUUGCACUUUUAACAUAGAGUUCACGUGAACAGUUUAGGUAAGCAGAGCACGCACAAAGAUCCCUGCAUGCAAAUCCUGAGCUUUAUUGGGUAUCAGUAAGCAUGAUUUUGAAAACAUACUUUAUAUUUAAGUAAGGUUAUGAAAACAACAUCUUUUAAAGAACUUAAGGUACACUUAUAAAUUACAUCAUCUGCUCAUCUUAUGGCCAAGUUUUCUCAAAGUGAUUCGGGUGAUUCUUUUAUAAUCCUCUCUUAUACCUCUGAACCAGGAAGUGAGUGAAAAAAAUUCCUCCCCCACAGGCUUUCAUGCAUUGUCAUUAAGCAGCUUUUAUUUGUUAGGGUGUGUCAGCCUUAAAUAUCUUCUCUCUGGGACACCUGAAUUACAGCCAUGGUUUGAAGCUUAAUAAUAUCCUUGAGGUGCAGGCCAGACAAUGUUUCCAUUAUUGCAGUUCCUAUUUAUUGGAAGGUAAAAGAAUGUGAAGAGAAAAGAGUAGAUGGGAAGUGAUAAUGAUUGGCUAAGUGCUGUGAAACACUCUGACACUGAUCAAACUGUGUUCUUGUUUAUUUUAGUUCUUGGCAGUAUUAGAGUCUCUUGUUCAGACUCCGUCAUGUAAAGCUGUUUCUAGGCCUGAGGGUCAUCACGAAAGGGUGGGAGAGAAAUCAAUUAUUUAUUUUGAAAGAGAGACAAAAAUCACAGUUAAAUAUUUUAAAUCUGUAUGUUCUUUCCCAAACUGUUAACUGACUUUACUUUCACUUUUCAUUUUUCAUUUUUUUUUUAGGGCCGCCUCCACAGCAUAUGGAACUUCCCAGCCUAGGGUCAAAUUGGAGCCGCAGCCACAGGAAUGCGUGGUCCCAGUUGUGUCUGCAAUGUACACCACAGCUCAGGGCGAUGCUGGUUCCUUAGCUCACUGAAUGGGGCCAGGGAUAGAACCCGCAUCCUUAUGGAUGCUAGUCAGGUUUGUUACUGCUGAACCACAACAGGAACUUCUGACUUUGCUUUUAAGAAAAUGUUUUAAUGUUUUAAGAUAUUGCUAUUACAUGAGAAGUGAGGCAUUAAAAAGUAAUGAUUUUAGGACAGUUUUAUUAGAAAUUUACUACAUACCACAUAUUGGCAAUUUGCAGGUAUUUUUAUACUCAUACUCUCAUGCUGGUUCUUAGUAUCAGAAAGAACUUUACCUUCUGAAGACCCAUGAGUGGGUUGGGGUGUUGAGCAUCUAGCAAGCAUUCAGACUCUAACUUUUGGAAUAAGAAUAUAAGACAUUAACGGAGUUUCCUGGUGGCCUAGUGGGUCAAGGAUCCAGCAUUGUCAAUGCUGUAGCUUGGGUUUGAUCCCGGGCCCAGGAACUUACACAGAAAUUAAGACUGUUUUAUUAUUUAGUGUAGUACCUAACAUGUAGUGGAAUGAUUGCCUCAAAUAUUUGAUGAUGAAUGUAUAUAUUAAGGAAGUAAGUAAAAUUUUUAAAAAGUUUACCAUUUAGAUAAUAACCGGCUAUAUUGAGAAAAGUGUAGAAAAUAACAAAACCUAUAUAAUACUGCAGUAGCUGCAUAGUAUGGCAUGUGAGAUAAUUCACAAAUUACUAAGUUAAAUGAAUUCUAAAGGUUUGUGUAACUCUAAUCCAGUGGUUCUUUUCUUAGCUACAUACUCUAGACAAGCUCUUGCCCAUGUGUAUAAGGAAACUUUUACAGCAAUGCAUGAUAGCAGAAAUCAACAAAGAGUCCCAAUGUCCAUCAGCAGUACAACAAAUAAAAUACAGCUUUAUAUUCACACAAUGGAAUAUUAUAUUGUAGUAAAGAAUGAUUGAACUAGAGGUACACCAUCAACAUGGUUCAAUCUCAGAAACAUAACAUUGAGUGAAAGAAGCAAGUCAGAGAAAGAUCCAUUGAGUAGCAUUUUUUUCUAUGAUUUCAAAAACUAGAAAAUAUAAAUACUUUUUGAUAUAAUAUUUUUAAUUAUAUUCUGUAAAGAAAAGAGUUGGAAUAGUGGUCAAAAUCCCAUGUUAAUGCUUAGUUAUUAUGGUAUAUACCAAGUAGGUAUGUGUAUGGAGCGGGGCACAAAUUAGUUUUUCACAGACUGUCAGUGUUCUCUUUCUUCACUUGGGUAAUGUUACUCAGUGUUUUAUUUUUUCUUCUUAUUAAUUGAAGCAUAGUUGAUUUACAAUGCUGUGUUAGUUUCAGGUGUACAGCAAAGUGAUUCAGUUAUAUAUAAUAUUUUUUCUUUUCGGAUUCUUUUCCAUGAUAGGUUGUUACAGGGUAUUGGAUAUAGUCCCCUGUGCUAUAUAUAAUAGGGCCUUGUUGGGUGUAUCUGUUAAUACAACCACUAUGGAAAACAGUAUGGAGGUACCUUAGGAAACUAUACAUAGAACUACCAUAUGACUCAGCAGCCCACUCUUGGGCAUCCAUCCAGACAAAACUUUCCUUGAAAAAGACACUUGGGAGUUCCCGUCGUGGCACAGUGGUUAACGAAUCCGACUAGGAACCAUGAGGUUGCGGGUUCGAUCCCUGCCCUUGCUCAGUGGGUUAACGACCUGGCGUUGUCCUGAACUGUGGUGUAGGUCGCAGAUGCGGCUCGGAUCCCGUGUUGCUGUGCUCUGAUGUAGGCUGGCGGCUACAGCUCCGAUUAGACCCCUAGCCUGGGAACCUCCAUACACCCCGGGAACGGCCCAAGAAAUG